rnacentral:rRNA from 1 species
UACUAGAGUAGCACUCGCAUAUCAAUAAGCGGAGGAAAAGAAACUAACAAGGAUUCCCCUAGUAACGGCGAGUGAAGCGGGAAGAGCUCAAAUUUGAAAUCUUCAAGGGUUUCCCUUGACGAAUUGUAGUUUAAAGAAGUGUUUUCUGUUAGAGAGGUGGUAAAAGUUCUUUGGAAUAGGACAUCAUAGAGGGUGAGAAUCCCGUAUUUGAUCACUUUCUACUAACGUUGUGAUACACUUUCAAAGAGUCGGAUUGUUUGGGAAUGCAGUCCAAAAUGGGUGGUAAAUUUCAUCUAAAGCUAAAUAUUGGCGAGAGACCGAUAGCGAACAAGUACCGUGAGGGAAAGAUGAAAAGAACUUUGAAAAGAGAGUUAAACAGUACGUGAAAUUGUCAAAAGGGAAGCGUUUGACACCAGUGUUGUUUUCUCGAAAAUCAAUUAAAAAUGGUGGGAUUUUGUGUUGUAUUGACUUUAUCAGCUUUCUGCACUUUUUUCCUAUCUUUUUUAAUGCACUUUUCGUUUAACAAGUCAACAUCAAUUUCUUUUGCUGUAAAAGGGUCAUUGGAAGGUGGCUUUCUUUUCGGAGAAAGUGUUUAUAGCCUUUGACUUCUGCAGUCGGAGAGAUUGAGGUCUGCAGCGUAGAUCCUUCGGGGUUAGAUACAUUUGUGCUAAGCUAUAGCCUUUCAUAGACAACUUGUUGACUAUGAUCAGUCAUGUAGCUUACUCGCUUAUGCUAUUUUACCUACGCUUAGGGAUGUUGAUAGUCACAGCGUGUAC